CCCGGGCGGGGCCCAGGAUUGGUUCAAGCCUACGGUGUUGGUCCCCGGAGAGUCUAGGGAGACAAGCAAUCCCCUGGAAUGGUGGGGGAAGCGAUGACAGCCCCUGGUCCUCAUCCGCAGCUCUGGGGGAAGUCGGGGGGUGGGGAGGGCGGGUGUUGCUCCCUGAGUGUUGGGGGAAGGGUAUGGGGAGAGGACCCUGAACUAGCCCCCAGGUUACCCAGGAGGAGCUGAGGCCCAGAGAGGUUCAGCGACUCGCCCAGGGUUGCACAGCGAGCACAGGCACCGACGUCGCCCUCCGAGGCCUGGGCUUCCAGCAGGGAGAGACCCGGACACCUGUCAUCGCUUCUCGGUGGAUCCCUGAAAUAUCAGACCUUCCAGCUGCCUCUCAUGUACUUGUCUGUUGGGGGCUUGUGUUGAUCAGGAGUGAAUUCACAGUCUACCAUGAAUUGGAAGGUCCUAACUGGGACCACCUACUCCCCUUGGAGGGUCCGGAUGGAGUUUCCCCUCUGCGGCUGCCUCUCACUCAUCCUCCACCACUUUGCCGACAAGGAAGGAAGGACAAUCGGGAGGAGGGAGUCUUGCUUGGCGACCAUCUGGACAAUAUCUCGCCCAUGGCAAGCUGGAUCCCUGUGGAUUACUUUGGUGGGUGGAAACUUGGCACACUAUUUAAUUUGGGCUUUUUGGGGGAUGACUGCACACUGGUUCUCUUUUUUUCUCAGACCUAAAUUUCGACCACUCAACUUUCAGCCUGCUCACCCCUGCUUAUUGCCAUCCACCUUUGGGCUGGGUUAGACCUAAUCCUCCCCUUGACAAAGCCCUCAAAGUAGCCUUCACAAGAUAAGAGUCGAGACCCCUAACUUACCAACAAAUUUUAAUGAAACUUCUAGUAAACUCAAAGCGCUUUGCCAACAUCCUUAGGAGCAACCCAGUUCUCGCAGCACCCCAUGUGAGGUCGCUGUUGAAGUAUCUUUGGCUGCAGUGGUGUGGAAUUCAUCUCAACAGAGUUGACGGUAAAGACCAGACAUGUAGCAGCCUCACUGCUUGUUGGAGGAACCACCCUUAAGAAAAUUUCCCAAGAUAGUAGUUUUCCCAUCUCCGUACUUUGCUAGUUAAUGUUCUCCACUUGCUUGCGUUUAUCCUUUCAAUUCCUUUGCUAAUUAAAUUGCUGAAAAGUAUACAUUGGUAAGAAUAGCCACUGUCAAUGGACUGCAAACAAAACUCGUUUCUGUUAUUGAUGAUAAACCAUUUCAGAGAAGACCAGGCUGAGUCUAAAGGGUUCAGAUAAUUACAAGGGGAAGGCAGAGAGAGUAGUUCAUGGCCACAGGACUUGGCCACCUCUGGGCAACACAUAAUGCUUGCUAAGCUAAUGACUGUAGGGAUAUAGAACUGGCCCUCAGCCUCUCUGUCUUCCUUUGGCCUCUGCUCUUCCUGCUGCCUUCUCUCUUUGACCACGAUGACACACUUUCCAUAGGCCUUCCUCACCACAUCACAGAACUCAGAGAAGAGGCUGUCUUCUUGUUUGAUACACAGCUCGUCUCUUAGGAACACCCGAUAUUUCCAAGGCACCCAUCCUUGACUACCCGCAGCAUGCACAAUACACCAAGUUGGGGUUUGUAUGAAAUAUCCAUCACUAAUAUCUUCCCCAGUUACGAGACUUUCUGGGAUAUUGGUUUCCCCAAAAUAUACGGUCUUAAAUCCAUCAUAUUGCAGUGUUCUCAGGGUUUUCAGAUAUUGGAGGCAUUGCUUCCUCUUGAUGCCAUCAAAUUGACUUCUGAUAAUGACAUUUCUUAAAAGAGGGCUUGCAAAGCGAGGCAUGGUGGCUUCUCAAGUGUUUUUAAAAGCUUGCACAUCUGCAUCUGGGGAGAGAUGGCAAGUGGGGGAUGAUGACCUCAUAAAGGGCUUUCUUACAGUGGUGCCAGUCCCACACAUACACUUCAGAUUUCAAGCAUCAUGGAAUAAAUACUCAGAACAACUCCCUGCUGACCCAUAAAAUAUGGGAAUUGCAGAUGCUACCCAUAAAAAUGCUACUUUGACAUCACUUCUGCAAUAGGUCUGAGACAGAGAGCUAAAGACAUUUCAUAAAAUGGGCAUGAAGGAUUCCUUCAAAUGAAGACGUGGACAAAAUGAUUGGUCAGGUCCUUUGCUCUACUGUUGAAUGGAGGAGGAUUUUUUUUUUUUUUCCCUCACACAGGGGUUUUCUUGGAGCUCAAGUUUGGAUGACCCCAGACAGUAAGAUAAUCUCAUCAUGGUAAAGUUAAUAUGAAAUAUGUGGUCUCCAAACAGCCUCUCCCAGAGGCCAGGAUCAGCAGGUUUGAGUGGAUAAUUGGCUUGUGGUCAUUUUCUCAUAGGAUUUUUCUUUUAGUAGUGGAAACUGUUUUUCAAAUCAAAUUUGGAUGCCAACUAUGUGGAACAGAAGUGUGGCUGCUCUGGUGGAAGUGGCAAUGGUAGUCCUAGAGUCUCCCUGUCAGCCACACCCUUUGUCUCCCCCUACCCAAGGGACCCUGUGGCCUGGAACCGCAGUGUGAAAUGCUAUAUAGUGCAAUGAAGUCAAUUCGAAGACAAGAGUUCUUUGCCUUUCUCAUCUAAUUUUUAGUUAUGGAUAUGAGACGCUUGUUCAGAAGUAUGGAAAAGUAUAUAUAAUAUGUUAUCUUUUAGAUGUGGGUGUAAAUAUGCUUAUGUAUGCAAUAUGCUUAUAUUUUAACGCAUAAACAACAUGAAUAAAGCAAACACUCUAGACUUCUC